rnacentral:tRNA from 1 species
UCCCCGGUGGCUCAGUCAGUAAAGAAUCUGCCUGCAAUGCAGGAGACCCAGGUUCAAUUCAUGGGUCGGGAA